rnacentral:rRNA from 1 species
GAUGAACGCUGGCGGCGUGCCUAAUACAUGCAAGUCGAGCGAAGCGGGGACGGGUGAGUAACACGUGGUAACCCUCCUAUAAGAACGGGAUAACUUCGGGAAACAGGAGCUAAACCGGAUACUUAUGGAUGGCUCCGCGCUGCAGCAGCUAGUUGGUAAGGGAACGGCUUACCAAGGCAACGAUGAAUAGCCGAGCUGAGGGGGUGAUCGGCCACACUGGAACUGAGACACGGCCCAGACUCCUACGGGAGGCAGCAGUAGGGAAUAGUGGGCAAUGGGCGCAAGCCUGACGGAGCCAUGCCGCGUGUAUGAAGAAGGCGUUCGGAUUGUAAAAUACUGUAAGCAGGGAGGCGUUACCCGCAGAGGAAGCACCGGCUAACUCCGUGCCAGCAGCCGCGGUAAUUC